ensembl:lncRNA
GGAAAUGUCGGGAAAAUGACUGGGGACACACUUUGGGACAUGUUGACCCCGGCUGACCUCCUGCUUUUAGGCAUGAAAAACCGUCAGCCAGUGGUUGUGAAGUGACCCACUGGGCAUCACACUGCCAUUGUAGGCUUUACCGCUGGAAGCUUCCGUUCCUUGCUCAGUAAAGCAGCAGUAAGUGUUCUCUAUUUCCAAGGGUUAUUGGCAGGAUUACAUGUGAUAGUGCAUGUAAAAUCCUUUGCAUCAUGCCUGAUACAUAAUAGGUUCAGGUUACCACUUACAUAUUGUUACCCGCUUACUGCUGUUCCUUUUGGUAAAUGACUCCCUCCUGGAAUCGUAUUUACCUGACGGGGUUUGCCAAAAGCCACCAGGGCUAUUUGGGCUGCACUGGCAGGGUGUCUCUGGGGAGGAAGAAAGGGUCUCCAGAGCUGUACAGAGACCCCCUUCCUCGGCCCCAGCCUCAGGCUUCCUCCUGCAGUGCUGGCCACGGGUGACUGGCACAGGACCCCACUGUCCCCAGGUUCAGGCCAUCCCUAUGGAAGCUUUUCCUUUGUCUGGGGGGAGCCGUGAGCAAGGCAGUUGUCAUAGAAAUGGAGAGGUUGGAUCAGAUGGGAAGCAGACAAAGGUCAGUUUGGGGAGAGUGGGAGGUGAAACGCCAAGAAAGGUCCAUAACGAAGAGUUCCCAUCAUGGCGCAGUGGAAACAAAUCUCACUAGGAACCAUGAGGUUGAAGGUUUGAUCCCUGGCCUUGCUCAGUGGGUUCAGGAUCCGGCGCUGCUAUGAGCUGUGGUAUAGGUCGCAGACGCGGCUCGGACCUGGCAUUGCUGUGGCAGUGGCUGUGGCUGGCAGCUCUAGCUCCGAUUGGACCCCUAGCCUGGGAACCUCCAUAUGCCCCGGGUGUGGCCCUAAGCCAAAAAAAAAACAAAACAAAACAAAACAAAAAGAAAGCUCCGUAAUGAGAACCCCUCGAGCACAUAAAAAAAGUCACCCCUAAUCCAAAGCCUUCCCUUCCUUGAUCAUUAAGCAAAGUACCUGCUCCAAGACAGAGCUGGGAGAAGAGCCCAGUUAAUUCCUUUCCUGAACUGAAAUAAACAGGACUCGUAGUACCUUCCUUAUUGUAUCAACAAGAGGGCCUCACAGCCCAGGCAGAUUUUACUGUGUGAGCACAAGUUCAUAACCUUGUAAUGCAGACCGGGAGCAAAUGUUUAUGCAGGGGUAUAUUUUCUCACUGCACAUGGAGUGGCAUCGUUUUCCCUUCCCACCUUGGGCAGCAAAAUAGCUCCUUUCAGACUAAAGGGGCUUCUUGAUGCAGGAGAGGAAAAUGAGCCUUUUUUCCUUUGUGUCUGACUUUAUUUCUCGCGUACAAAGAACUUGUGUUCCGAGGAGGGCCUGGAGAUGGCAGCGGGGACCAGAACAAUCACGUUUACUGUUCGGCUGCACAGGGAGGCCGUCUGGUGGGUUUCAUGGUCCUCUCUCUUAAACACGGCCGUGGCCAGUCAGUUAAUAAAAAACAGCCCUGGCCGAGUCCUGCCUGGGCUGAUUAACUUGGAUUUAGAUGAACAAGUGAACAUAGGAGCAUCCCCGUGGUCUCCCGGGCUGCGGAUUUUGUCGAAGCCUGCACGCAGAGCUGCACGUGCAAGCCUCGCCUCUGCAGACAAGGUCCGAUGAGGAGCGGGUCAGAGGAGUCAGGCACGAGGAGCCUGCUCUGGCUGAGGUCCCCUGGAGCCGCCUCCUCCCGUUCUCUCCGCUUGCUGGACCUGGUGCACGCCUGCUAUUGUGGGGCCGCAGAAGAGCUGGGAGCAAAGGCUUGCAAACAUGCUUGGCAGGGGGGCCGGGGCAGGGUUGCGGGGGGCGCUGGCCACUGGAGCACUUGGUAGUGGACCCCAGCCUUUGUGAGGGCCCAGCCGGGAUCUGGGAGAGCCUGUAAACUGCCACGUCAGGAAGACCUUGGCUACUCUCUGCAACCGAGAGCUGGCAGCAGCUGCCAACCCUUUUGAAAAAAAACAAAACAAAACAAAACAAAAAAAACAGCAGCCACACUCAGACCCCUUCCUGCUCCUCUCCUGCUGAUCCUUUCAGUGCUCUGCUCAGAGUGGCAGAUGGUGACAAUUGUCCAGAUGUUGCAGCUUUCAUGUUCAUCUGCUGUGUACACGGUGCACUGGGGUUAUUUACGUCAAGAGACACACAGGCAGAGCACGCGGACCUGGCAGCCUGCUCCCCCAGCUGGCCGUCACAGUGGCCACUGCACCGCCCAGGGAGAGGUGCUAAGCCCAGACUGGGUCCCUCACAUUUUCCAAUCUCUACUGGCAUAUGGAGAUUGCCUCCCUCUCCUCCAGAAGGUCAACAGUGGCAAUGGAAGCUUCCAGUAGUUUCUGGAAUUGUGGGGCAUCUCUAAUCCACUUGCCCGCCUCUCCUAGGUGACUUUAGUCUCCCAGGCUGUGUGAGUCCCCCAAAACAUCAAAGACCUGUGUUAUAGGAGUUCCCGUUGUGGCUCAGCAGGUUAAGACCCCAACUAGUAUGCAUGAGUAUGCGGAUCCUUAACCCACUGAGCGAGGCCAGGGAUUAAACCCACAACCUCAUGGUUCCUAGUCAGAUUCAUUUCCACUGUGCCAUGAGGGAACUCCCCUACAUUUGAUUUUACUGUCUAUCCCAGCACCUCACCUUGUUGGCCACAGAACUGGGCCAGCUGGAUUUCUUGUUUGGGACUUUACUCAUUGAAGUCAAAGGAAAAGCCUCCCUUCCUGUUGAAGCCGAGAAGAUGGGCUCAUGACAGCUGCUGGCAGCCACGUUCUAUGUUUCAUGGAAGAUGCCAGCCUGAAGGCAAGUAAGCUGGUCAUCAGAAAGAAGAAGGGACAAGAGACAGAAAGGGCGUGGUGGGCGCCAGGUCCUGCCUUCACUGUCCCAGGACCCCAAUGGCCACCUGCCCUUCCUUCUGCUUGGUUACUUGAGCCAAAAAAUUCCCCUCUUUGUCUCUAGAUCAUUUCAGUUGGAUUUCUGUCACUUGUCAUCAAGAAUCCAAGGUGGAUUAGGGUACUCAGCGGUAACGAACCUGACUAACAUCCAUGAGGACAUGGGUUUGAUCCCUGCCCUCGCUCAGUGGGUUAAGGAUUCAGUGUUGCCGUGAGCUGUGGUGUAGGUUGCAGACAUGGCUUGGAUCUGGCGUCUCUGUGGCUGUGGUGUAGGCCAGGGGCUACAGCUCUGAUUCGACCUCUAGCCUGGGAACUUCCAUACGCUGUGGGCGCGACCCUAAAAGACCAAAAAAAAAAAGAAAGAAGAAAGAAAGACAGAUGCUGGUGUGUCCUUUUGCCUGUGCGAAACUCACUGCCCUAAGCCCUCCCGGCUAAUGCAAGUGCAAAGGGAGAAUCCUUGAACACGAGCUGCCAGCUGGUGUGGGGAAGCCUGGCCCUGUGAAUGCUCUCUGCUUCCUCCCAAACAGGCUGCCUUGGUGGGAGAGGGGGGAUGGAAGGAUGGAGGGUUGAAGGGUGGGAGGAAAGUCGCUGACAGAUGGAGUGAGGACGUCUCCGGAAGAAGGUGCAGCGUGGGAGAAGGCUUGACGUCAGGAGCAGGAGGGGUGGGUGAAGAGGGCUGGUUGAGAUUCCCUUGUGGAUCAAAAGGAGCAGGGAAGAAGAGCGGCAGAUGAAAGAGUGUGCAGCCGAGCAGAUAGGCGCAGGCUCCGAGGCUCCCCCGUGUCUUUUAUGGCCCUAAAAAAAAUGCCUCCUCUUCCCACUUCUUAGUCAGACGCGUACAUCUGCAAACCCACCGGCCCCUUGAGCUAAUGUUUGUGCUUAAAAGACAUGAUUAGAUCCUGGACUUAAUUUAUGCAUUUCUUUGAUACUGAUGCAGCUGUGUAAGCCAUGGUUAUUUUAUUUACAUUUCAUCAGAUGCUCCCUUUCUGAUUUUUGCUAGGCGGCUUGUUCCUUUUUUUUUUCCCUGCUUUUCUGAGCCUUGAGUCUGUUUGCCCAUGUGUGUUACGUUGAAGAAUGUGAAAUUGCCCAUUUCCCCCCCAUAUUUUACCUACUCAAACAGCCAUUUCAUAGAGUUCAAGUGAAUUUUUUUCAAGUUUCGGUUGUAACUGUAAGUUUCCAGAGGCCAUAACCAAGGGCCCUGAGCACUUGCCACUGAAGUAGAUAGCCUGAUGGGGACAAAAGCUGGUUAAUGGCCCAGAAUGAAGAAGGGACAUGAGAACAGGUCAUGCUGAGCUGGAUAUACAUGAAUAUGUGUGUGUGUGUGUGUGUAUGAAUCACUUUGCUAUACACCUGAAACUAACAGAACAUUGUAAAUCAACUACACUCCAAUAUAAAAUAAAAAUUAAAUUUUAAAAAAAGGGAACAAACUUAUGGUUACCAAAGGGGAAAGGAGGGGAGAGAGGGAUAAAUUAGGAAUUUGGAAUUAACAGAUACACACUGCCUUAAGUAAAACGAAUAACCAACAAGGGCCUACUGUAUAGCACAAGGAACUAUAUUCAAUACCUUAUAAUAACCUAUAAUGGAAAGAAUCUGAAAUUGUGUGUAUAUAUAUAUAAAUAAUAUAUAUUAUAAAUAUAUACGUAACUUCGUCACUUUGCCAUAGACCCCAAACUAACACAACAUUGUAAAUCAACUAUACUUCAGUUUGAAAAGAAUAUAAAUUUUUUAAAACUAUACUUCAGUUUUAAAAGAAUAUAAAUUUUUUAAAAAACAUUGCAUUGCAGAUAAGGAGUUCCCUUUUUGACUCAGCAGUUAAUGAACCCGACUAGGAUCCAUGAGGUUGCGGGUUCGAUCCUGGCCUCCAUCAGUGGGUUAAGGAUCCGGCAUUGCCCUGAGCUGUGGUGUAGGUGGCAGAUACGGCUCAGAUCCUGCAUUGCUGUGGCUGUGGUGUAGGCUGGCAGCUGUAACUCCAAUUCGACCUGGGAACCUCCAUAUGCAUCGGGUGCAGCCCUAAAAACCAAAAAUAAUAAUAAUACAAAUAAGACACAGAAAAAUAGUUUGACCAAACGAUCAAGUAGUCUACAGUGCUCAUGGGUCCAUUGCCGUAGACUACGCUGUUGUCAUUCAUCAAAUACCCCUGCCCAGGAGUUCCCAUGGUGGCGCAGUGGUUAACGAAUCCUACUAGGAACCAUGAGGUUUCGGGUUUGAUCCCUGCCCUUGCUCAGUGGGUUAAUCAUCUGGCGUUGCCGUGAGCUGUGGUGUAGGUUGCAGAUGCAGCUCGGAUCCUUCGCUGCUGUGGCUCUGGAGUAGGCCAGCGGCUAUAGCUGCGAUUCGACCCCUAGCCUGGGAAGCGACCCAAGAAAUGGCAAAAAG